rnacentral:ncRNA from 1 species
CGCCGCGCAAGUGGGCCGACGGUCGACUCCGGCGGCGCAGGGGUAUAGCCCGCCCCGGAAAGCUGCA